rnacentral:lncRNA from 1 species
CCAUACAGCUCCAAGGGGGGGGGUUAUCACCAUUGACAUCCGAAAUCAGCUGGCUCGAAUCCGAUUCAAAGACUGCUUCCUUCACUCCAUGGGAGCUGUAAGUAGCUACCGCUUCCUUCAGCGCUAAACCUUCUGCAACUAGGGCUGAGGGAGUAAAACCAAUCCCUUUCUUUAGCAUGGUCCUCUAUUCUCGCGAUGUUACCGUCCACCCUAGCCCUGCAUUCUUUGUGGUCUCUGACCACGCAGCGUCCGACCGAGCUAUCGUACCAAGCACACGAGACGUCUGCUCCGGGCUCUUUUGGCUACAUUUAGCUUUCUUCUCCUGCGCUGAGGCCCACUCU